AUCGCUUCUCGGCCUUUUGGCUAAGAUCAAGUGUAGUAUCUGUUCUUAUCAGUUUAAUAUCUGGUAUGUCCUCUACACGGGGACGACGUAUUAAAUGGAUUUUUAGCCUCGGGAGCUGAAGCAGGGGCUUGCUCCGUUCACUCCACGCAUCGACCCGGUAUUGCAGCGCCGCCGGGAACGGUGCACCCCUC